rnacentral:rRNA from 1 species
AUUGAACGCUGGCGGCAUGCCUUACACAUGCAAGUCGAACGGCAGCACGGGGCAACCUGGUGGCGAGUGGCGAACGGGUGAGUAAUGCAUCGGAACGUACCUUUCAGUGGGGGAUAACGUAGCGAAAGUUACGCUAAUACCGCAUAUUCUGUGAGCAGGAAAGCAGGGGAUCGCAAGACCUUGCGCUGAUUGAGCGGCCGAUGUUAGAUUAGGUAGGUGGUGAGGGAAAGGCUCACCAAGGCGACGAUCUGUAGCGGGUCUGAGAGGAUGAUCCGCCACACUGGAACUGAGACACGGUCCAGACUCCUACGGGAGGCAGCAGUGGGGAAUUUUGGACAAUGGGGGCAACCCUGAUCCAGCCAUGCCGCGUGAGUGAAGAAGGCCUUCGGGUUGUAAAGCUCUUUCGGCCGGGAAGAAAUCGCACGGGCUAAUACCCUGUGUGGAUGACGGUACCGGAAUAAGAAGCACCGGCUAACUACGUGCCAGCCGCCGCCGUAAGAC